ACGGGCCGCACAAGCGGUGGAGCAUGUUGGUUUAAUUCGAAGCAACGCGAAGAACCUUACCAGGUCUUGACAUCCCGAUGCUAUUUCUAGAGAUAGAAGUUACUUCGGUACAUCGGUGACAGGUGGUGCAUGGUUGUCGUCAGCUCGUGUCGUGAGAUGUUGGGUUAAGUCCCGCAACGAGCGCAACCCCUAUUGUUAGUUGCCAUCAUUCAGUUGGGCACUCUAGCGAGACUGCCGGUAAUAAACCGGAGGAAGGUGGGGAUGACGUCAAAUCAUCAUGCCCCUUAUGACCUGGGCUACACACGUGCUACAAUGGUUGGUACAACGAGUUGCGAGUCGGUGACGGCGAGCUAAUCUCUUAAAGCCAAUCUCAGUUCGGAUUGUAGGCUGCAACUCGCCUACAUGAAGUUGGAAUCGCUAGUAAUCGCAGAUCAGCACGCUGCGGUGAAUACGUUCCCGGGCCUU
rnacentral:rRNA from 1 species